UAGGAACAUGAUCUGCUCCAUGUAAAAACAAAAAAAGACGUAGUAAUUGGACUACAUUUCCAGAUGCUUAUCUUGCUUCUGUGUAGUUAAGUAUACUAAAAUGAUCCAUUUUUCUACUGAUGGAGAAAAACAAGAUAGAGGUUGAAUGAUUAUGUGGGUGUCUCUAAAUACUAUUACUCUUAACAAACUUUGAAACAUGCAUCACCGUACUAGCUCCCAAUUACGUUGAUAGAUCCUUACAUGCUAGACAUCAAUCAGUGCGACGACUUUAUGCUUCAGAAGCUCGCAAAACAGGACGUCGUCAGGCUUGAUACAAAAUCUAUAUUAGUUAUUGGAGUAUUCUUGGUUGUUAUUAUGAAGUAUGAGUCCAGUUUCUUUAAGUAGUCUUUGGAGGGUUUGUUAAGAGAACCGACUCAGGUAUGUUAAGUCUAUCCCUUCUUUCUUUUGGCAUGAUCCAUACGAUAUGAACGAAACGUGCAAAUGCACAAAUUCCAUAAGUGACUCUACUCAUAGAAGUAAUAGAAAUAUCUAUGUUCUUUAUUUCCCAUGUGUCAUAAUAUUUUAUCAUCUGUUCAUGGGUCUUAGAAAAAUAUGAAAGUUGAAAAGAGUUUACUUUAUGAUAUUACUUAGAGGCAAAAUGGUCUUAUGACAUUCCGAAUAAUUUUAUUGACAUAUUUUUUAUGCACUGCAUUCAUGUGCACUGACCCAUGACCAGAUGGCGUUAUAUACGUGUAUAUAUGUAAAUAUAUGUAUAUGGGAUAUGAGAAAAGGUUAUGGCAUUAUAUACGCACCACCACCUGAUCAGCUGGUAUAUGAUGAUGAUGUUGUCCACAGUGGCUGAAAUAUGAUUCAAACGACGUUAUAUACGUGUAUAUGGGUAUGUAUUCAAAUGGCGUUAUAUAUGCAUAUAUAUGUAUGUAUUCAAACGACGUUAUAUACGCGUAUAUAUGUAUGUAUAUAUAUGUAUAUGGGAUAUGGAAAAGGUUAUGGCGUUAUAUACGCACCACCACCUGAUCAGCUGGUAUACGAUGAUGAUUUUACCCACAGUGGCCGAUAUGAUAUGAUGGGAUGCCCUCAGAGGCUGAUGAUGUUAUGAAACAUAUACCUAUGCACGACAUGACAUUCAUACGCAUAUGCAUGACGCUGAAAGUAAUUUAUGAUUUACAAAGUUAUUUAGAUGUACGGGUUGAGUCAUGUACUCCAUAUGUCUUCCAUGUCUCCUAUGUAUUUAUUUAUGUGCCUUACAUACUCGGUACAUUAUUCGUACUGUCGUCCCUUUUUCCCGGGGACACUGCGUUUCAUGCCCGCAGGUCCUAAUAGACAGGUCGAGAGCCUUCCAAGUAGGCUAUCAGCUCAGCGGAAGAUGUUGGUGUGCUCCAUUUGCUUCGGAGCUGCGUAUUUGGUUAGUAUGAUUUAGACGUCUAUUGUUUGGUAUGGCGGGACUCUGUUCCGACCUUUGUGACACUUAUGUAUACUUAGAGGCUUGUAGACAUAUGACGUGUACGUGGAAGAUUGUACGGCCCUGUCGGCCUAUGUUUGAGUUUAUAAAUGAUUAUGUUAGCCUAUUAGGCCCAUAU
rnacentral:lncRNA from 1 species